rnacentral:rRNA from 1 species
AUACGGAGGGUGCAAGCGUUAAUCGGAAUUACUGGGCGUAAAGCGUACGUAGGCGGUCCGUUAAGUUAGAUGUGAAAGCCCCGGGCUUAACCUGGGAACUGCAUUUAAAACUGGCGGACUAGAGUUGAGUAGAGGGGAGUGGAAUUUCAGGUGUAGCGGUGAAAUGCGUAGAGAUCUGAAGGAACACCAGUGGCGAAGGCGACUCCCUGGACUCGAACUGACGCUGAGGUACGAAAGCGUGGGUAGCAAACGGGAUUAGAAACCCUAGUAGUCC